rnacentral:lncRNA from 1 species
CGCUGGGGAGCCGGGUGCGCCAGGCUGGGGACCUUGCGUGGGGCAGGGCUUGGCUCAGCCGAGGGGCCGCGGCUCAGCCCCCCUCACCGGCCUUAAAGGUUCCCAGAGACGCAAAGUCGGACGCGGGUCCUGAGCGCGGAGCUACAGGGGGGAGCAUGGGGCAGCCCCCAAGGCGCGCUCCCUGCAUUUCCCACCCUUUCCACGCUGCCCUGCGCGCACGGUCGGGCGCCCUUGGGGUGGGCAGGGAGGCGCGGGCAGGGGCAGCGCCGAAGACCUCCCGCCGCCAUGGAGAAGGGGCUCCCCACCCACCCUCCUGCCCCAACCAUUAUAGAUCCCAGCCAGUGCGCCCCGCGCCCUUCCGGGACAAGCUGCCCCCAGGACCACCGUGCCCCAGUAUCAAGCGGACAGCAAAUCUCUCGGUGGCUCCUUUUGUAAGGGUUUCUGCCCUCAGGGUUGUUACGGGACAGAAAUGGUUUCAUCAGAAACAAGCCCUCCUCGCACACUCACAGUUUGCAGGACUCCGAACUGGGCCCGCGAGAUCUCCACCUGCGCAAAACGAAAGGGCGGAUUCUCCUUGGACUCACGAGGCAACCGCUCCCCGGGGUGAGAACGGGGGACUCAUUCCUCCGGCACUGGGAGAAGACGAUUCUUUAGGAGGAGGACAGGGAAGCGAAUGCUACCCAGGUGCGUAAUCACAUUUGGGCACCCUCGGGGGCCUGAGAGGAGGCCAGGGGUGACCUGCCCCCAUUCUCACAGGGGAGGGGCGGUGAGCCUAUUCUCACAGGUGUCUGUGAUGAGCCCAUGUUUUCCAAACUCCUCCGUGAUUCUAGAACAGUGCUAGAGAAGCCGUGAGCCAGCUGGCAGAUGUCUCAGUAUACUGGCUCGCGGCACAUCGGGCAAAUGAACCUAUCAGAUAACAACGGCAGAUCAGAUGCCUGAGCAUUCAGAAGCAACAGCUGUGGAGCCCCCGUGGGUUCAGAAGGCCUGGUUCCCGUCUCCAGAAGCCUGGCUCUCCUCCCUCCUGGGCCCACUACUUUGGCUUCUUGUUCCUACGUACAAGGAGUUGCGAAGAAGGCAACUCUUCCCCUCCCUGAAGCCAAAGGAAUGAAACAGACUAGGGCGGGAGAGGUGGCCAUCCGUCAUUAGUUGCGGCCAUCAGUAACAGCAACAGGACACGGAACCUAAGGCUGUAUCCAUCCUGGGCCCCCAGGGAAACAUCAGCGGGAGCGGUACUAAGGAAGUGCUCAUCUCUUAGAGACAAAGGCCCAUGGAGGGGAACAGUAACCAUCCCCUCCCAAUUCAGAAAAUGUUAACAUAAGCACUUCAUUUCUCAUGCAGAUAACCACAUAAGUCUAUUAAUAAGAAAGAAAGAGAAAGAAAAAAAAGAAAAAGGAAUCCAUGCCAGCAGGGUAUAGGAAUUGGUCUAUAGGAGAAAGGGUCACCCACUGAAAGGUGGGCUGAAUAGAAUUCCUUGCCUGGGCUUUGAGGUCCUGGCAUGGAGAAGGCUGUAGAAAUGCUGGCAUCAGUGGAACCCUCAAUAAACAGAAUUCUUGUUAAA